AUUGAACGCUGGCGGUAUGCUUAACACAUGCAAGUCGAACGAUGAGAAAGAGCUUGCUCUUUCGAUUAGUGGCGGACGGGUGCGUAACGCGUAGGAAUCUACCUAUUAGUGGGGGACAACUUAGGGCAACUUAAGCUAAUACCGCAUACGCCCUACGGGGGAAAGAAGGGGAUCGCAAGACCUUUUGCUAAUAGAUGAGCUUGCGUAGGAUUAGCUAGUUGGUGGGGUAAAAGCUCACCAAGGCGACGAUCCUUAACUGGUUUGAGAGAAUGAUCAGUCACACUGGAACUGAGACACGGUCCAGACUCCUACGGGAGGCAGCAGUGGGGAAUAUUGGACAAUGGGCGAAAGCCUGAUCCAGCAAUACCGCGUGUGUGAAGAAGGCCUUAGGGUUGUAAAGCACUUUCAAUUGGAAGGAAAACCUCGAAGCUAAUACCUUCGAGUUUGACAUUACCUUUAGAAGAAGCACCGGCUAACUCCGUGCCAGCCGCCGCAGAA
rnacentral:rRNA from 1 species